UAAAAUUAUACUGAACAACUAAACUAUAUUUGCAUUCAAAUUAGGACACAUCAUCGUCAAUAGAAAUUUUUGUCGGUAUAGAUAUAUAUCCAUUUUAUUGAUUUUUAGCCUUAACAGUAUAAUAUAUACACAGAGAUGAUUACUCCAUAUCAUAAUCUACAACGCUUGUUUUUUGAAAAAUGAUCUUUUUGUAUAUAAUCCAGGUACCGUUGCAAAUGGGGCGUUGUUGUUCAAUUCAAAAGUAUACGAAGACCAAGUAAAUGAACAAUAUUUAUCGGCUAAAAACGUAAAUAAAAAAGGAUUCACGAUAUAAAUUAAAAAAAAAAACAAUAACGAUAACGGAGUGAAGUUUAACGGCGAAUCUACCGACGGAACCGAGAAGAUGAGGCGGAGCCGUAUUAACAGAGCUUACCGGAGAAAACUAUUAUCACCGCUUAUUUACCGUAGACUGUUCCAAGUGAUCCAACAGAAAGGGAAUUUGCAAUCACGGACACCAUCUUCAGAACUUAUUUUUCUUAACUGUAUCCAUGAAUCUCUGCUUUGUAAGAUCGUUUCUUGAGAUAUACUCAAGAAAAUCAUUAAAGCUGAAAUCUCCAUAAGCAGCUGGUUUGUCUUCAUUCACAAGCUGAGGUGCUGGACUUAUCUUCUUGUUCAUUGGUAAGCUGUGUAGACUCGCGAAAGAGAGGCGGUUGACAUCUUUGUUCACUGUUACUCGAUGAACCACACUCCUGUAGAUGCCAUUGCUCAUCACUUCUACUUGAUCUCCAAGCUGCACAAUCAGAGCUCCUUCUAUGUACGGCACACAGAUCCAGUUGUUGUUUUUGUCUUUUAUCUGAAGCCCCUGGCUGCUUUGGAGUAAGAUGGUCAGUGAGCUAAAGUCAGAGUGUGGUGGCAUCCCCAAGGCUAUCCCGGGUUGUGGACACGCUGGGUAGCAGUUCACCGCCAUGACUUGUGACCCUUCUUCGAUUUCUUCCUGUAAGUAACUUUUCUCGAGGCCUAGACUUUCUGAGAUAGCUUCCAUUAAUUGCUUGUGUAACACAUGCGUUGCUUCUGAGUAUUUCCCCACUUUUUUCCUGAUAGUUAGAGGAUAGAUCACAUCAGUUCUGAGUCCUAGAUAGUAUUACAAGUUUUGAAACAUCUAUGGAGCAAUAGGAUAUUUCUACUGUUGUGACGGACCAGACUCUUUACUAUAGCCAAAUGUCCGUCACUAGAUGUCCAAUUCCUCGCUUAGUAUGAUAUUUAGGAGAAGCCUUCCCCCAAAAAAAAAUUUGUCAGGGCUUACUCCCAAAACAGACAAUAUCAUACUAAGCGAGGGGUUGGACAUCUGGUAAU